UACGGAGGAUGCAAGCGUUAUCCGGAAUGAUUGGGCGUAAAGCGUCCGUAGGUGGCAAUGUAAGUCUGCUGUUAAAGAGUCUAGCUCAACUAGAUAAAAGCAGUGGAAACUACAUAGCUAGAGUACGUUCGGGGCAGAGGGAAUUCCUGGUGUAGCGGUGAAAUGCGUAGAGAUCAGGAAGAACACCAGUGGCGAAGGCGCUCUGCUAGGCCGUAACUGACACUGAGGGACGAAAGCUAGGGGAGCGAAUGGG
rnacentral:rRNA from 1 species